rnacentral:rRNA from 1 species
CACGUAGGGGGCAAGCGUUGUCCGGAUUUAUUGGGCGGAAAGAGCUCGUAGGCGGCUCAGUAAGUCAGGUGUGAAACCUCCAGGCUCAACCUGGAGACGCCACCUGAUACUGCUGUGGCUAGAGUCCGGUAGGGGAGCGUGGAAUUCCUGGUGUAGCGGUGAAAUGCGCAGAUAUCAGGAGGAACACCGGUGGCGAAGGCAGCACUCUGGGACGGUACUGACGCUGAGACGCGAAAGCGUGGGGAGCGAACAGG